AUUGAACGCUGGCGGCAGGCCUAACACAUGCAAGUCGAACGGUAGCACAGAGAGCUUGCUCUCGGGUGACGAGUGGCGGACGGGUGAGUAACGUCUGGGAAACUGCCCGAUGGAGGGGGAUAACUACUGGAAACGGUAGCUAAUACCGCAUAACGUCGCAAGACCAAAGUGGGGGACCUUCGGGCCUCACACCAUCGGAUGUGCCCAGAUGGGAUUAGCUAGUAGGUGGGGUAAUGGCUCACCUAGGCGACGAUCCCUAGCUGGUCUGAGAGGAUGACCAGCCACACUGGAACGGAGACACGGUCCAGACUCCUACGGGAGGCAGCAGUGGGGAAUAUUGCACAAUGGGCGCAAGCCUGAUGCAGCCAUGCCGCGUGUAUGAAGAAGGCCUUCGGGUUGUAAAGUACUUUCAGCGGGGAGGAAGGCGGUGAAGUUAAUAGCUUCACCGAUUGACGUUACUCGCAGAAGAAGCACCGGCUAACUCCGUGCCAGCCGCCGCAGUAAUAC
rnacentral:rRNA from 1 species